rnacentral:rRNA from 1 species
UACGGGGGGGGCAAGCGUUGUUCGGAUUUACUGGGCGUAAAGGGCGCGUAGGCGGCCUGCUAAGUCACACGUGAAAUCCCUCGGCUCAACCGGGGAACUGCGUGUGAUACUGGCGGGCUUGAAUUCGGGAGAGGGAUGUGGAAUUCCAGGUGUAGCGGUGAAAUGCGUAGAUAUCUGGAGGAACACCGGUGGCGAAGGCGGCAUCCUGGACCGAGAUUGACGCUGAGGCGCGAAAGCUAGGGGAGCAAACGGG